rnacentral:rRNA from 1 species
GAUGAACGCUGGCGGCGUGCCUAACACAUGCAAGUCGAGCGAUUUACUUCGGUGAAGAGCGGCGGACGGGUGAGUAACGCGUGGGUAACCUGCCCUAUACACACGGAUAACAUACCGAAAGGUAUGCUAAUACGGGAUAAUAUGUUUUGAUCGCAUGGUCGAAAUAUCAAAGCUCCGGCGGUAUAGGAUGGACCCGCGUCUGAUUAGCUAGUUGGUAAGGUAAUGGCUUACCAAGGCGACGAUCAGUAGCCGACCUGAGAGGGUGAUCGGCCACAUUGGAACUGAGACACGGUCCAAACUCCUACGGGAGGCAGCAGUGGGGAAUAUUGCACAAUGGGCGAAAGCCUGAUGCAGCAACGCCGCGUGAGCGAUGAAGGCCUUCGGGUCGUAAAGCUCUGUCCUCAAGGAAGAUAAUGACGGUACUUGAGGAGGAAGCCCCGGCUAACUACGUG